AGUGAACGCUGGCGGCGUGCCUAAUACAUGCAAGUCGAACGGAGUGGCGCACGGGUGAGUAAUGCAUAGCUAAUCUGCCCUACACUAGAGGAUAACAGUUGGAAACGACUGCUAAUACUCUAUAGUGUGGGUUGAGGCUAUAUUGUAUCAGUUAGUUGGUGAGGAAAUGGCUCACCAAGGCUAUGACGGAUAACUGGUCUGAGAGGACGAUCAGUAUCGCUGUAAGAGAGACACCGUACAGACUCCGACGGAAGGCAGCAGGAGGGAAUAUUGCUGAGUGGGGGACACCCUCAAGCAGCAACGGCGCGUGAAGGAUGACACUUGUCGGAGCGUGAACUUCUUUUGUUAGGGAAGCGGUACCUGACGAAUAAGCACCGGCUAACUCCGUGCCAGCAGCCGCGGUAAUAC
rnacentral:rRNA from 1 species